GGCCGCAGUACAUUGACUGUGCUAAGGUAGCAUAAUAAUUUGACUUUUAAAUGGAGCCUAGGAUAAAAGGAUGAUUUGGGUUUUAACUGUCUCUGUUUAUUUUCAACUAACUUACUAAUGAAGUGAAAAUUCUUCAGGCAAAUUUAAAAGACGAGAAGACCCUAAGAAUUAUAAUAAAAAUAUUUUAAUAACUAAUAGAUUUUCGUUGGGGCAACGAGGGAAAUAACUUUGGAAUUUCCUUUUUUUAGGUUAUACAUGCCGAAAAUUUUUAUGUAAGAAUUAAUUACCUUAGGGAUAACAGCAUAAUUAAAUAUUUUAGAUUGUGACCUCGAUGUUGGACUAGGAAAAAAAUAUAACUAGACGUUUGUUUUUCUUGUUCUGUUCGAACAUUUUAUUCCUACGUGAUCU
rnacentral:rRNA from 1 species